GCCCUACGGGGCGCAGCAGUGGGGAAUAUUGGUCAAUGGGCGCAAGCCUGAACCAGCCAAGUCGCGUGAGGGAUGACGGUCCUAUGGAUUGUAAACCUCUUUUGUCGGGGAGCAAGGCCCGCCACGUGUGGCGGGAAGGAGAGUACCCGAAGAAAAAGCAUCGGCUAACUCCGUGCCAGCAGCCGCGGGAAUACGGAGGAUGCGAGCGUUAUCCGGAUUUAUUGGGUUUAAAGGGGGCGCAGGCGGUCUGUUAAGUCCGCGGGCAAAGCCCGGGGCUCAACCCCGGCCCCCCG
rnacentral:rRNA from 1 species